rnacentral:rRNA from 1 species
UACGUAGGGGCCUAGCGUUGUCCGGAAUUAUUGGGCGUAAAGAGCUCGUAGGUGGUUCGGCAAGUCGGAUGUGAAAUCUCCACGCUUAACGUGGAGGGGCCAUUCGAAACUGCUGUGACUUGAGUCCGGUAGGGGAGUGUGGAAUUCCCGGUGUAGCGGUGAAAUGCGCAGAUAUCGGGAGGAACACCAGUAGCGAAGGCGGCCUGCUGGGCAGUGGCUGACACUGAGGCGCGACAGCGUGGGGAGCAAACAGG